GCCCUUUUCCGGUUGAUCCUGCCGGAGGCUAUUGCUAUCGGUGUCCGAUUUAGCCAUGCGAGUUGUACGUAUAACGUAGCAAACUGCUCAGUAACACGUGGCCAAACUGCCCUAUGGACUAGGAUAGCCUCGGGAAACUGAGGCUAAUCCUGGAUAGCACAUUCAUCUUGGAAUUGGAGAAUGUGUGAAACGCUCCGGCGCCAUAGGAUGUGGCUGCGGCCGAUUAGGUAGACGGUGGGGUAACGGCCCACCGUGCCGAUAAUCGGUACGGGUCAUGAGAGUGAGAGCCCGGAGACGGACUCUGAGACACGAGUCCGGGCCCUACGGGGCGCAGCAGGCGCGAAACCUUUACACUGCACGCCAGUGCGAUAGGGGGACACCGAGUGCGAGGGCAUAGAGCCCUCGCUUUUGUAGACCGUAAGGAGGUCUACGAAUAAGGGCUGGGCAAGACCGGUGCCAGCCGCCGCGGUAACACCGGCAGCCCAAGUGAUGGCCGAUAUUAUUGGGCCUAAAGCGUCCGUAGCUGGCCGCACAAGUUCGUCGGGAAAUCCACUCGCUUAACGAGUGGGCGUCCGGCGAAAACUGUGUGGCUUGGGACCGGAAGAUCCAAGGGGUACGUCCGGGGUAGGAGUGAAAUCCCGUAAUCCUGGAC
rnacentral:rRNA from 1 species